UCGGAUACUGGGCGUAAGAGCUCGUAGGUGGUUUGUCGCGUUGUUCGUGAAAUCUCACGGCUUAACCGUGAGCGUGCGGGCGAUACGGGCAGACUUGAGUACUGCAGGGGAGACUGGAAUUCCUGGUGUAGCGGUGGAAUGCGCAGAUAUCAGGAGGAACACCGGUGGCGAAGGCGGGUCUCUGGGCAGUAACUGACGCUGAGGAGCGAAAGCGUGGGGAGCGAACAGGAUUAGAUACCCUGGUAGUCCACGCCGUAAACGGUGGGUACUAGGUGUGGGUUUCCUUCCUUGGGAUCCGUGCCGUAGCUAACGCAUUAAGUACCCCGCCUGGGGAGUACGGCCGCAAGGCUAAAACUCAAAGAAAUUGACGGGGGCCCGCACAAGCGGCGGAGCAUGUGGAUUAAUUCGAUGCAACGCGAAGAACCUUACCUGGGUUUGACAUGCACAGGACGCCGGCAGAGAUGUCGGUUCCCUUGUGGCCUGUGUGCAGGUGGUGCAUGGCUGUCGUCAGCUCGUGUCGUGAGAUGUUGGGUUAAGUCCCGCAACGAGCGCAACCCUUGUCUCAUGUUGCCAGCGGGUAAUGCCGGGGACUCGUGAGAGACUGCCGGGGUCAACUCGGAGGAAGGUGGGGAUGACGUCAAGUCAUCAUGCCCCUUAUGUCCAGGGCUUCACACAUGCUACAAUGGCCGGUACAAAGGGCUGCGAUGCCGCGAGGUUAAGCGAAUCCUUUUAAAGCCGGUCUCAGUUCGGAUCGGGGUCUGCAACUCGACCCCGUGAAGUCGGAGUCGCUAGUAAUCGCAGAUCAGCAACGCUGCGGUGAAUACGUUCCCGGGCCUUGUACACACCGCCCGUCACGUCAUGAAAGUCGGUAACACCCGAAGCCAGUGGCCUAACCCUUUGGGAGGGAGCUGUCGAAGUGGGAUCGGCGAUUGGGACGAAGUCGUAACAGGA
rnacentral:rRNA from 1 species